rnacentral:tRNA from 1 species
GCGGGGUUGCCCUAGCCUGGUAGGGGGCAGGCCUGCUAAGCCUGUGGUCAGUGAUGGCCGCGCGGGUUCAAAUCCCGCACCCCGCGCCA